rnacentral:rRNA from 1 species
UACGUAGGGUGCGAGCGUUAAUCGGAAUUACUGGGCGUAAAGCGUGCGCAGGCGGUGCUGUAAGACCGAUGUGAAAUCCCCGGGCUUAACCUGGGAACUGCAUUGGUGACUGCAGCGCUGGAGUAUGGCAGAGGGGGGUGGAAUUCCGCGUGUAGCAGUGAAAUGCGUAGAGAUGCGGAGGAACACCGAUGGCGAAGGCAGCCCCCUGGGCUGACACUGACGCUCAGGCACGAAAGCGUGGGGAGCAAACAGG